GGUGGUAAUUAUGCACCCACGCCAGGAUGCACAAUGAAAGCUUGGGGACGUUCUUGGAUU
rnacentral:misc_RNA from 1 species